UACAGAGGGUGCGAGCGUUAAUCGGAAUUACUGGGCGUAAAGCGUGCGUAGGUGGUUGAUUAAGCUGGAUGUGAAAGCCCCGGGCUUAACCUGGGAACUGCAUUCAGGACUGGUUAACUCGAGUCUGGGAGAGGGUGGUGGAAUUUCCGGUGUAGCGGUGAAAUGCGUAGAUAUCGGAAGGAACAUCAGUGGCGAAGGCGACCGCCUGGCCUAAGACUGACACUGAGGCACGAAAGCGUGGGGAGCAAACAGG
rnacentral:rRNA from 1 species